rnacentral:misc_RNA from 1 species
GAUGAAGAACGCAGCGAAAUGUGAUAAGUAAUGUGAAUUGCAGAAUUCAGUGAAUCAUCGAAUCUUUGAACGCACAUUGCGCCCCCUGGUAUUCCGGGGGGCAUGCCUGUUCGAGCGUCAUUUCACCACUCAAGCCUCGCUUGGUAUUGGGCAACGCGGUCCGCCGCGUGCCUCAAAUCGACCGGCUGGGUCUUCUGUCCCCUAAGCGUUGUGGAAACUAUUCGCUAAAGGGUGUUCGGGAGGCUACGCCGUAAAACAACCCCAUUUCUAAGGUUGACCUCGGAUCAGGCAGGGAUACCCGCUGAACUUAAGCAUAUCAAUAAGCGGAGGA